UUUUUUUUUAGUUAUGAGAGCCUCUGUUAAGAGAUUCACGUUGGAGGUGCUUUAAGGCCCUAACUCUUACCUUUUUCUGUAUUUUCUGUCACUUUAAA
rnacentral:sRNA from 1 species